GUUCCUACCUAAUGGAUUCAAGCCAGAGCCAGAUCUCAAAUGUGCCUUCCUGGGCUCCAGUAAUGAAGAUAUGAAGAGUCCAGGUGAUGUUGUGUAUUGUACACAUGUCUCUAUCUUUACUUUGCCUAAGUGGUUUUCCAUGUUCCUGCCUCCUUAAUGGUAAUGAUGGAAGUCAAGAUGAAAUAAGGGAAGAGGAUGCAUCUGAGGACUGUCUUUUUGUCUUUCAACCAGGCGCCCAAGUACACCCACAAAUCAAACUCUACUCAGAAUGAUGUGAAGGCAUUCUGCUCCAUCUGCUACAUUGUUGAAGAAGCUUGCACCUGUGGAGAAGGCCUCCAGUUGUCCUCCAAAAUCCCAUCUCCCCAUCCACCUGGAGGACAGAUGACCAGACUAAACUCCCAGCCUCCCUUGUUAC
rnacentral:lncRNA from 1 species